rnacentral:rRNA from 1 species
AGCGAACGCUGGCGGCAGGCCUAACACAUGCAAGUCGAACGAACCUUUCGGGGUUAGUGGCGGACGGGUGAGUAACACGUGGGAACGUGCCUUUAGGUUCGGAAUAACUCAGGGAAACUUGUGCUAAUACCGAAUGUGCCCUUCGGGGGAAAGAUUAAUCGCCUUUCGAGCGGCCCGCGUCUGAUUAGCUAGUUGGUUGAGGUAAUGGCUCACCAAGGCGACGAUGAGUAGCUGGUCUGAGAGGGGGAUAGGACACAUUGGAACUGAGACAGGGCCCAAAAGCGUACGGGAGGCAGGAGGAGGGAAUAUUGCGAAAGGGGCGAAAGGCUGACGGAGCAAAGGCGGGGGAGUGAGGAAGGUCUUCGGAGGGUAAAACUAUGGGAGUAGGGAAGAAAAAAUGUGCAAGUAAAUAUGCACGUAGUGACGGGACGGAAUAAGAGAGCCACGGAUGACUACGU